rnacentral:ncRNA from 1 species
UUGCGCCGUGUACUUGGAGACUUGUUCGCACGGUGCGUUGGGGACGAAGCGGGAGCAAUCCCGCUGACUUACCCAAU